GAGUUUGAUCCUGGCUCAGAACGACGCUGGCGGCAUGCCUAACACAUGCAAGUCGAACGGGAUCUUCGGAUCUAGUGGCGGACGGGUGAGUAACGCGUGGGAACCUGCCCUUGGGUACGGAAUAACAGUUGGAAACGACUGCUAAUACCGUAUACGUCCUUCGGGAGAAAGAUUUAUCGCCCUUGGAGGGGCCCGCGUGAGAUUAGGUAGUUGGUGGGGUAAUGGCCUACCAAGCCGACGAUCUCUAGCUGGUUUGAGAAGAUGAUCAGCCACACUGGGACUGAGACACGGCCCAGACUCCUACGGGAGGCAGCAGUGGGGAAUAUUGGACAAUGGGGGCAACCCUGAUCCAGCAAUGCCGCGUGAGUGAAGAAGGCCUUAGGGUUGUAAAGCUCUUUUACCCGGGAAGAUAAUGACGGUACCGGGAGAAUAAGCCCCGGCUAACUCCGUG
rnacentral:rRNA from 1 species